rnacentral:misc_RNA from 1 species
GAUGAAGAACGUAGCGAAAUGCGAUAAGUAAUGCGAAUUGCAGAUUUCAGUGAAUCAUCGAGUCUUUGAACGCACAUUGCGCCCUUUGGUAUUCCAAAGGGCAUGCCUGUUCGAGCGUCAUUUGUACCCUCAAGCUUUGCUUGGUGUUGAGCGUCUUGUCUCUAGCUUUGCUGGAGACUCGCCUUAAAGUAAUUGGCAGCCGGCCUACUGGUUUCGGAGCGCAGCACAAGUCGCACUCUCUAUCAGCAAAGGUCUAGCAUCCAUUAAGCCUUUUUUUUCAACUUUUGACCUCGGAUCAGGUAGGGAUACCCGCUGAACUUAAGCAUAUCAAUAAGCGGAGGA